ACGAGUGGAAGAUGGUAUCUAGUCCUAACAGUCCUCCACCACGAAGUGCUCACCAAAUAGUCGCUUGGAAGAAUAACCUAUACAUGUUUGGUAACUUAACUUUGGCAAGGUUGGGAAUUCACUUCACCAAACCAAGAACGCUUUCAUCAUUACAAGUACUCUAAAGGGCACGGAGCAGGACGACUCCUGUACAGCCACAGCUUGGGAAGUCGCGUUGUACGAGCCAAUAUCCAUGGUGUUGUACCUUGUGUAUCUGCUGGCUCCUUCGCUGCCGUUGAAUGGAUCGAUGUCACCUCUCGGCUUUCUUUGUACUGUAUCUGCAUCUUGCUAUUUUUGUACCGUGUCGUGUUAAUGUGUUAUCAAGGAGAGUACUGCUCCCUCCGUUCCAUGUUU